GGGAAGGUCAUUGGAAACUGGGAGACUUGAGGGCAGAAGAGGAGAGUGGAAUUCCAUGUGUAGCGGUGAAAUGCGUAGAUAUAUGGAGGAACCCCAGUGGCGAAGGCGGCUCUCUGGUCUGUAACUGACGCUGAGGCUCGAAAGCGUGGGGAGCAAACAGGAUUAGAUAUCCUGGUAGUACACGCCGUAAACGAUGAGUGCUAAGUGUUGGAGGGUUUCCGCCCUUCAGUGCUGCAGCAAACGCAUUAAGCACUCCGCCUGGGGAGUACGACCGCAAGGUUGAAACUCAAAGGAAUUGACGGGGGCCCGCACAAGCGGUGGAGCAUGUGGUUUAAUUCGAAGCAACGCGAAGAACCUUACCAGGUCUUGACAUCCUUUGACCACUCUAGAGAUAGAGCUUUCCCUUCGGGGACAAAGUGACAGGUGGUGCAUGGUUGUCGUCAGCUCGUGUCGUGAGAUGUUGGGUUAAGUCCCGCAACGAGCGCAACCCUUAUUGUUAGUUGCCAUCAUUUAGUUGGGCACUCUAGCGAGACUGCCGGUGACAAACCGGAGGAAGGUGGGGAUGACGUCAAAUCAUCAUGCCCCUUAUGACCUGGGCUACACACGUGCUACAAUGGGAAGUACAACGAGUCGCUAGACCGCGAGGUCAUGCAAAUCUCUUAAAGCUUCUCUCAGUUCGGAUUGCAGGCUGCAACUCGCCUGCAUGAAGCCGGAAUCGCUAGUAAUCGCGGAUCAGCACGCCGCGGUGAAUACGUUCCCGGGCCUUGUACACACCGCCCGUCACACCACGAGAGUUUGUAACACCCGAAGUCGGUGAGGUAACCUUUUGGAGCCAGCCGCCUUAAGGUG
rnacentral:rRNA from 1 species